GCCUCCCCAUAGUUGUAAUAAGAAAAAAGGAAAAAAAAGAAUAGCUUGAUUGAUCAUGAACCUCUAACAUUUAGAUGUUCCGUACGUACCUGCAUUUCACCACAUCUUGACCAUUCUAUUAAUCUAACCAUCUAAGACAUGUCAUAUCAUCAAACUUUGACAUAUUUUGAAAAUUCUAUUAAAAAAAGAAAGAGUGUUGCUAUUUCCACCCUCUUAUCCUAUUUUCCCACCCAUCAUGUAAAUUUGAAAAUACAAAAUCUUAUAUUUCCACCCACCAUUAUUCCUAAAAUAUCCCUUAUAAAAUUAAAUGAAAAAAAAGUUAAUCCAAACUCUUCUGCAAGUCGCCUCAACAAAAACUAAAAAGAGCAUUUCCACCGCACCUCCCUAGCCCGGGCAAAAGGGGGCCUAGGCCCUUCAAGCCCUUUCCAGCAGUACAAAACAGCUCAGGAAAGGCGUGGGCUCCACCAAGUCUUGGUAGGCCUGAAGGCAAGAACAACUUGAGCUGUUGCUUGAGGGCUGUGACAUCAGUGAUGACGUUAAUAAUGAAAAAAAAUUAAAAAUAUCGAAAAACAUUCUGAAAAUUACCAAAAAUUUCAGAAUAUUUUUUUAAUAAAUACCUAGCCAUAUUCUUCACUUCCC
rnacentral:lncRNA from 1 species